rnacentral:misc_RNA from 1 species
GAGAUCCCUGCAGCAGUAAUAGAAAUUAGCGAUUCUUCUUGUCAUCUGAUCCUAAAACCAAAUUGAUGUGUUUAUCACAAUCUGUUACUAAAUGAAGAAAAUUUAGAACCUCAAAAAAUUUCAGAACCACACGCUAUAGGAGAUAAUAUAGACACAAAACUAAAACGCCCUCUUUGGCAACACAUGACAAAAAGAAUCCACAGAUAUUGCCAAUUCGCGAUCAAAA